rnacentral:lncRNA from 1 species
AGGGGAAGGCCUCUUAUUUCAGAAUGUAAUGCUACAAUAGGUUAUAUUCAGGGUGGAGGUAGAAAAAGUAGCUAAAGGAAGUUACAGUUCUAAUUACCAACCAGGUUAUAUUGUGUAGUUCGAUUUCCCAUUACAGAAAGAAAAAAAAUACCCUCGUAUCUUAAUUUUAUUUAGCUAAAGAUCAAUGGAUAUUCAAUAAAUGUCCCUUCUUAUUAUCUGAGUGUUUCUCAGACUUUUGUACUUAAGUGCUCUUUACACUGUAGAGGCAGGAAAACCCUGAAGUAUCUAAGAGUAUAACCUUAUAAUUGGCUCUCCAUCCU